UGGGGAAUAUUGGGCAAUGGACGCAAGUCUGACCCAGCAACGCCGCGUGAAGGAAGAAGGCUUUCGGGUUGUAAACUUCUUUUAAGGGGAAGAGAAGAAGACGGUACCCCUUGAAUAAGCCACGGCUAACUACGUGCCAGCAGCCGCGGUAAUACGUAGGUGGCAAGCGUUGUCCGGAUUUACUGGGUGUAAAGGGCGUGUAGCCGGGCCGACAAGUCAGAUGUGAAAUCCGCGGGCUUAACCCGCGAACUGCAUUUGAAACUGUUGGUCUUGAGUAUCGGAGAGGUCAUCGGAAUUCCUAGUGUAGCGGUGAAAUGCGUAGAUAUUAGGAAGAACACCAGUGGCGAAGGCGGGUACUGGACG
rnacentral:rRNA from 1 species